CCGCCCGUAGCUCAAUGGUAGAGCAAUGGCCUUUUAAGCCAGUGGUUGGAGGUUCAAGUCCUCCCGGGCGGA
rnacentral:tRNA from 1 species